UGGCCCCAACAUUACAGCCUACAAGAACGAGCUCAGAGAAAUUGGAGUGACCGUUGAUUUGUUAAAUGGGUGCUCUUUGCUUGCUGGCUAUCUUGAUUUUCAUUCUGAAUUUUCAACCAUUGUUCGAGUCUAUAAUUACUUGAAUGAACACGGCUGGUCGCCUUCCAAUGAUACUCCUAGAAGGAUCUGGAUCCCUAAUGGGAGUGACAGUGGAGAGUGGGUUAGUCCUGAAAAAUGUGUUAUUCAUGACAAGGAUGGUCUCUUCAGUUCACAGCUGAAUGUUUUAGAGAAACACUAUAAGCCGGAAUUAUUCAGCCUUUUCUGCAGAGUCAUGCAAGUUAAAUCCAAUCCUUCUAUUGAUGACUACUGCGAACUUUGGAAUAACUGGGAAAAUUCAAGGGAGCAACUGUCACGUUCGGAGUGUUGUGCUUUCUGGGCCCAUGUUUCAAAGCACUGGAGUAAAAACACACAGAAAACUCUUGCCGACAGCUUGUCAAAACUGCCAGUUGAAUCAGGAUCGGAGAGAAUAAUGCUGUUUGACAAACGUGAUGUUUUCAUUGCAGAUGACCUCCAGCUGAAGUAUCUUUUCCAACAAUCUUCGCCUCACUCAAUUUUUGUGUGGUAUCCCCAGCCAAGCAUCCCUUCCUUGCCCCGGACUAAGCUGCUUGACAUCUACAGGGAAAUUGGUGUUCGUUCUAUCUCUAAAUCUGUACAGAAGGAAGAAAUCUCCAAGUUGGAGGCCAGUGAACUCAAGCAAGUGUCUCAGAAGGAAACUUUGAUCGGAAAAGGCCUGCUGAAACUCAUUCUUGGCUUUCUCGCUGGUCCUUCUAUUGAAAUGGAAGCAGGACAAAGGCUGGAAGCUGUCAAAGGCCUUCUCAAUCUUAAGGUGUUUGAGACGGAGGGGCAAACUGCAGCAAGCUACAGAUUGUCAAUGUCUUCUGGGGAAACCAUGGACGUUGAUGCAAGAGGAAUGAUGCGCUGGGACCGGGAGGAUUCCAAGCUUUUCAUGCAGAAGAUGGAUAUAUCGGGUGGACAUAAAAAUAAAAUCGAAUAUGCUACAAUCUUCGCUGAAGUAAUAUCAGAGGGCGUCUUACAGGAGAAAGAAGACCAUAUAUCUGAUCUCGCCGAACUGAUCAAGUUGGCAUUCUUCCUGGAUUUUGAUGAGGAAGCAGUUGGGUUCUUGAUGAGAUCCAAGAAUCUCCAAGUUUUCUUGGAGGACGAGGAGCUUCUCUCUUCAGCCCUUUCUCUCGACUAGGUAUGCAUUCUAUGCCAUGACCAAUAAAUAGUUGAAAGUGUCAUUUUCCUUAUAUUUCCCCGUUUGAAGUGUGUACUGGUGUGUGCUAUUAGAAUAUUAUAUAAUGUAUAUGAAUCUGGUGUGAAAUGGCUGAUUUAGGCAGCCUAUAUUGUGAUAAUUAUGCCCUUGUGCUUGCCUUUUUUAUUAAAUCGAUUUAAUAUUAAUUGACAUGCAAGAGACAAAAUUAAAUAUUUAAAAGGAGAUGCAUGUGAAGAUCUAAUCUACUCAUAUGUUUUCAAACACUAAAAGUAAAAAAAAAAUUAUAUUGUAAGAGUUCAACUUUAACAUAUCAAAUUAUAAAAAAAUAAAAAAAUUACAAUAUAUCAUCCUUAAAAUAGAUGGUUGCAAUUUUUUUUUAAUCCUCAUUAAUUAUUUUUUAAAUGACUAUAUUAUUUGCUAUAGAGAAUACUCCAUCUCUAUACCUAAAUUUAACACUUGAAGAAAAAUUUUCUUCGGCUUUGAACCCCGUGAAACUCGGUUGCAUUAGAAGUUACAAAUAAAAAUGAUUUCAUUACUUUAAUAAGAUAAUAUGAGAGUAUUUGAUAUAUAAAAUUAAUAAAUGAACAUAGUCUAAUAUUUAAUUUAAUUUAUUAACCAUAUUAUGGAUUUUUUAAUUAAUUUAUUUAAUGUCAAAAAAUCUUUUUUUAGGUCUAAUAAACCCAAAAAAAAAAAAAAUUAAAACAUGUUAGGUAUUGUUUUGUUUAAUUGUUAUUAGAUUAUUAGAAAACAAUUUGGGAGUAGUUAUUAAUCGUUUUCAAAAACAAAAUUAUAUUUGAUAUUUUAAAAAUAGUUCAUUGAUUUUGUUCUCAAUGAAAGUACCAUAAACUUUAACAUAAAAUAUAAUUUUUUUUCUAAAUGUGUUCUAUAUUUUUAAUUGUUUAUUAAGACAUUUGAAAAUAUGUUAAAUUUAUUUUCAAAAUAAUAUGUUAUCAAAAUAAAUUUUGAAAAACGGUUUUGUUUCAAAAGUCUACCAACUAUUUUCUAGGUUGGAAAAUUGGUUUUAGUUAUACAAUAAUAAUUUCCAUACGGAUGCUUGAGAUAUGGAUUUAGUACCAUAUUAAAUUUAUGUAUUUAAAUAUAAAUCAUUGAAUAAAAAUAUAGCAAAAAAAAAGAUAUUUAAAUGUAAAUAUAUUGGACCACGUUAUAAAAAAAUAAAAAAAACAAGAGAACGAGACUAUUACAAGUAUCGAAGUAUGAAAUUCAAGGUGCCCACAUAAACCUUUUUUAUUGAGCACCAUUCUAUAUAAAGAUUUAUUUGAAAACUUAUUUUGAAAAUAGCUUUGUGUUUAAAUGUCUUUAUAGUUGAGAAACAAUAAAUUCAUAUUUCCUUUUUUUUCAACUUCCAUGCAAUACCUAUAGAGUCACUGUGAUUCUUGCAAAUGAGUUGAACUUGAAUCCCAAAAGUGAAUAAAAAAUUGGAUCUACAUUGAAUUGUCUUGUUGAUCUACGUUAAAUUGCCUCAUCAAUUCUUUUGAGUAAAAACUUGAUCUUAGACUUAAUUCAAACAAAAGGAGUACAUUAUGCUAAUGUAUCUUGAAUGAUCCACAUCUCAAGGUAGUUGGCCCAAUAUAUCGGGAUGAUUGGCUUAAUGAGCAUAGGGGUGGUUGACCCAAUAAGCACAUUGAAGAAUUAAUGUGACUAGUCUUGAUGUUUUUAUAGGGAUGGUAAUGGAUAAGUUUUUUUUGUACCAUCUAUGCCCAUGGGACAAAUUUGAAAGAAAUGUAUAUUGAAUGGGCUUUAUUGUUGUUUUUUCUUAAAAAAAAAAAAAAACUAGAGUCAUCAAAGAAGGUUUUCUUACCAAACCUAAUUAUAUAAAAUUAGAUAAAAAUAAUUUCAUUUCAUUUUCUUUUGACAAAAUUAAAAUUAAAAAUUUUGAAAAAUAAUUUAAAAAUUAAAGGAGAUAUGAGAGAGGUAAGCAUGGGAAAUUGCUAGGGUGCAACUUGGGCGGGUUGGAUUGGGCCAACCCAAACCUAACCCUCUAUUUGGACGGGCUUAGAUAGAUGUUUUUAAUAUUUGGGUUGAACUUGUAUUAAGUUUUCUCAAUAUGAACCCAACCCAAACCGGUUUAAUGUUUUUAUACUUGUAUAAUAAUAUUCAUCUCCUUUUCAAAUUUUAAAAAUAUCAAAUUAUAAAUAUAUCAUAUACUUCUCAUUUAUAUAUAUAUAUAUAUAUAUAUAUAUAUAUAUAUAUAAGUUUAUUUUUAUUAUAAAAUAUGAAAUUUUGUACCACUAUGGUAACUUAUGGAUGAUCAUCCAUAAAUAUAUUUUAUAACUCUUUAUAAAAGGAAGAGACUUCUAAUGAAAUUUAAUAGAGUUUUCUAAUACAUUCUAUUAUCUCUUUCUUGAUUUCUUCUUCUCUCAUUUUGUUUUAUAAUAAUUUUUACUUUUUUAUUGUUAUCUUGAAAUUUUGUCUUAUUUUUUAUAUAAAUAUAUAUAAUUUAAAAAAAAAACCAUUAUGAAUAAAUUUUAAAUUAUGCAACCCAACCAAUUCCACUCUUGUCCAAUCAACUUGAGUUUAAUUCUAUUAACCCAAUUUUAAUCCAAGUUUAAAAAAACAAGAUUGAGCACUUCAAGUUAGAAAUCGGAUUAAAUUGAGUUUGGGUUAAUCAUUUCUUAAUUUAAAUUAAACUCAAGUUAACUUUCAACCUAUUCAAGUUGUAACCUUAGAAAUUCUAUACCUAUCUCAAUCUACCAUUUUUUAGUUAAAACUUUUUUUAGGAUGGAAAUAUGAGUAAUUUUAAAUAAUAUAAGUACCCAUCCUCAUCCAUUGAGUUGCUAUCCCUAGUGUUUUUAUAGGAUUGCCACCCUCUAUUUUGAGUAUUUUUAGAAGAUUGUCGGUCUCGUUAUUAGCUCAUAUUUAUAGUUUAAUCCUCUUGGAGACUCCCGUUCUACUUGUACAGUCACUUAUAUGUUUUUUUAUCCAUCUCCCUUUGGAAAAUGAGAGGAAAAGACAAUGCAAGAACUCUAUGGUCCAUAAAGACUCGGCGUGGAGGAAUGGUGACGUCACUUUCUAGUACAAUGGGCCAAACUUUUUUCUCAUUUUCCACUAGGUGGGUGCCUUUUAAAAUCUUUAAAUUUUUAUUUUUUAUUUUUGUUCAUUCUUUAUUAAUUCCUUCUCCACUUUCUAAUUCCUUCGCCCGGAGGUUUCCCCUUUGGUUAAAGUUAAUCAUUAAAGGUAAAAAAAGAUUAAAUAAAAUAACAUUUUCAUUAAUAAUCGCAUUAAAGUGAAUCAUCAAAGUUAAUAUGAUUAAAUAAUAUAAUAUUUUGACUAAUAAUUAAGGAUUUAAUUAAAAAUUAUUCUUGAAAUUAGUUUUAUAUCACUUCUUAAUUGUUUUUAGAAAUAGAAUUACAUUUGAUAUUUGAAAAAUAGUUUUUUUUUUUAUCUUAUUUUUCAUUAAAGUAUUAUUAGCAUAAAAGUUUUUAAAAUAUUACUUAUAUUUUCAAUUAUUACUCAAAACACUUUAAAAGUAAUAAACGAAAAUAUCUUAAAUUUGUUCUCAAAACAAUUCAUCUUUAAAAUAAUUUUUCAAAAAACUAUUUUUUUUUUCAAAAGUCUAUUAAAAUUGUUUUCUAAGUUAGAAAAUUGCUUUCAAUUAUAAAAAUAGAGGUUGUUCAAAAAUGUUUUUGAAAACAAUAUUAAAAAAUAUUUGUAUGAUAAUUUCUAAAACAAAAUUUUGUUUAUAAAUUUGAAAUGUUUUAAUUUAUUUUGUGUAUUUAAAUAUUCCUUAAAAAUAUUUUUUUUAUAUGUAUUGAUUGUUAUUUAAAAAAGUUUUAAAAAACAAGAAAAACCAUUAUAUAUUCUAAAGAAAAUAAAUCAUAUUUUUAUAAUAAUUCUCAAAAACCUAUUUUGGGAUAACCAAUAAAAAAACAAAUUUUGAUUUUUUUUUUUUUGUUAAAAUAGCUCAAAAAUAUAACCUAAAAGGUUGUUUUCAAAAAUAGUUUUAAAAUAUAUCCUUAGCAUAUGGAUUUGGUAUCAUAUCAAAACUCAAAAUAUGAAUCUUUAUGUGUAUGAUUAAAAAUAUAUCACUAAGUAAAAAUAUAAAAAAAAAUGAAAUAUUUAUAUAAAUAUAUAGGACCAAAUUAUCAGGGAAAAAAAACAUUAAAAGUAUAAACAAAUGAAAUUUGUAGUUUUUGUAUAAACAUUUUAGCCUAAGUAGUGUUAUAUAUAUAUAUAUAUAUAUAUAUAUAUAUAUAUAUAUAUAUAUAUAUAUAAAGGCUUAUUUGGUAAUGGCUAAUAAUAAGUUCUAUUUGGAAAACAUUUAUUUAUUUACAAAAAAACAGAUUUGAUCAAUUUUUAUUAUUAUUGAAUAUAUAUAUAUAUAUAUAUAAUAACAAAUUUGAGUUGUUUUAGAAAAACAAUUGAAAAUAUGAUAUUUAAAAAAAUUUUACAUUAUGUAUUAUGUACAGGUGUAUAAUACAUGGAAUAAGCUUUCCAAAUUAAAUUCUUUAAGAAAAUUUUGUUUGUAAAAUAAAUUGAGAAGUAUUUUAUGUAAUAAGAGUUUUUUUUAAAAAAACUCUGUAAAAAUUUAUAUUUAGGAAAAUUGCUAAGUUAUCAAAUAGUUAUUAUAUCAACCACUAAAUCUAAAUUAUUGAUCUUCAUAAUUAAAUUUGAAUGAUUGAAUAAAUGUAACAUGAAAUGGGAUCAUAAUGGAAAAUUAGGAAUCAGGUAUAAAAGAAUAAGCUUCUCAAAUGGAAAUUCAUUCAAUUAUAAAUUUCUCCAUUUUUGGAUAUAUUUUUCAAUCACAAUUCUAUAGUUUUUUAUACGAUUUAUCUUUAUUUAAAAAAUAAAAUAAAACAUGCCUUUUUCUUCACUGUAAUUCGUUGAAUCAAAUUUUUAUAAGAUUUAGUAAUUAUUUUAAAUUAGAAAUUUCAAACAAAAAAAUCGGAUAAUAUAAAAUUAGGUAGAAAUAAAUACAAAUAAAUCUAUUUUACACGUGGUCGUUUAUUAUUGGGCAUAUCGAAAAUAAUCAAAAUACACCACUUUUAAAUCUCACUCCCCACAUGCAAGGACGAUUCCAAAUUUCCAACUUCAUGGAACCACACCUCGUAGACCCGAGCAAGUCUCCUCGUCCGUACGUCUCGCCCCUUUUUUUUCUCUUUCUUUAGUUGAUGUCGAUUCCGUUGAUUGCUUACUUCCUUCACAAGUUUUGCUUCUUUACUAAGUUUCUCACAUUCUAGUCCACACAAAACGACGAUGGAUUGGACAUUCUUUAAAUGCGUCUCUUUUAUAUAUGUAGACACUUCUGUGUGUUGCCAUUCAGUGCCCUUGGCAUCUUUCUACUGAGAGUGAAGACUGAGAGUGCUUUGUGUGAAUCGAGAAGGAGGAGUGGUCGUAAUGGCGACGCCGGAGGAGCAUAUAAAGGAGAUAAGGAGGACGAAGUUCUCGAUUGGAGGAGAGCUGAAUCCGCUGACGGAGGAUCUUCACCAGGCGGUGAAGAAUCUCUCAGCUGAGCUUUACGCUAAGGAUGUUCAUUUCCUCAUGGAACUCAUUCAGGUCUGUGCUUUAUAUGUUUGUCUUGUUGUUUUUAGAGAUGUGAUGAGCACUCUGCGUUGUAUGCAGCCAUUGUUUUGUCAUGUUAUUUAAAAUUUUGAGCGCUUUGAGCGCUGCUCUGUUCCUCUGCUAGAAAACCAAGGAAAAUGACGGUUAUGAGACUUUUGAAUAUUUUGUUUUCUUUAUAUGGUAUUUGUUUCUUGGAGAUGACUAACUAGAGAUUCAUAAUUAUAUGAUAUAUCUUUGAAGUAAAAAUCAACUUAGGAAAGUAUAUGAUAUAUUUAUAAUUUGAUAUUUUUAAAAUUUAAAAAGGAGAUGAAUAUUAUUAUACAAGUAUAAAAACACUAAAUCAGGUUUGGUUUUGGUUCGUAUUGAGAAAACUUUAACACAAGUUCAACCCAAAUAUUAAAUCGGUGCACUAACUUUCUGAAGAAUAUGUUACUUAUCUAUUAUUCUAAUUCGAUCAUUAUGAUCGGAAAGUGAAGUGAUAUGGAUUGAGAAUUAGUUUUGCACUAACUUUUUGAAGAAUAUGUUACUUAUCUAUUAUUCUAAUUCGAUCAUUAUGAUCGGAAAGUGAAGUGAUAUGGAUUGAGAAUUAGUUUUGUUACAUUCAAACUUCGGUUACAUUUUUUUGGUCUUGGAAAAUCUAAAUGUGAAGAAAUCACAUAUUCUAAAUUUUACAUAACAGAAUGCAGAAGAUAAUGACUACCCGGAAGGUGUAAAUCCAUCACUGGAGCUCGUUAUAACUUCACAGGACAUAACUGGCACUGGAGCAUCCGCGACAUUGUUGAUUUUCAACAACGAAAAAGGGUUUUCAGCUAAAAAUAUUGAGUCUAUCUGCAGUGUUGGGAGGUCCACCAAGAAAAACAAUAGGAAGUGUGGCUAUAUUGGAGAGAAAGGUACCUUCAUUUUUUUACUCUUUCGCUCAUAUCUCUCCAUCUUCCAUGCUGUAAAUUUUAAAACGAAACAGAGCAAGCUCUAACUCUCUGUCUGCAAAAAGAAAUUCUUUCUUUUCGAUAAUCCCUAGUCAACGAUAGACUGUCUCCCGAUUGUCUCUGUGAAACAAUCGGAAGACAACAAGGAUUAGAUAAAAUGAGAAAUAGAGGUAUGUGAUAGUAGAAAGUGAUCUAUCUUGGUUCUAUAUUUUUAUGCAUUUCAUUAAUACUGGGAACAAAAGAAACAAGGGGUCUUAUUAUUCUUACAUGUUCAUUAGUAACAUUCCCUUGAUACUUUCCAAGGGUAUCACUCGUAUUUUGCUUAUGCUUAAUGUUUUCUGAUUCUACUAGAAAUCUUAUAAGAACUUGUUUUGUUAUAAGUGGAUUUAUGGGAUUGGUUCUUCAAUGGUCUUGGGUCAGAAUCCUAUUUUGACUCUGCAUCAUCGAUUCCACUAUUAUUAGUGAGCAAUAAUGGAAAAAUUCUUUCAUAUUCAUAGAAAUAAGGGACAUAAUUUACAUGGAUAUAGUAAGUUUCGCUUGGGCUGCUUUAAUGGUAGUCUUUACAUUUUCUCUUUCACUCGUAGUAUGGGGAAGAAGUGGACUUUAGAGGUACUAUUGAUUCAGUUGAGAAUCUUUAACUACAGAUCAAGUAUAUCCUCAAUUCUUAGAACCUCUAGUGUAGAAACACUUUAUUCAUGUCAAAAAGUUAGCUUAAUCAAUUCAGCUAGACACCCCAACUUUGGUCUUUACUAAGUCAACCUUCUCCUUUGCUUAACUUGCUAGCCUAAGAUGUACACGACUUAAAAGCUAAAAUGAAAACUGUGGGCAAGACUUUUGGUCUUUACUAAGUCAACCUUCUCCCUUGCUUAACUUGCUAGCCUAAGAUGCACACGACUUAGAAGUAUUUCUUAUACAACUUGUCGUCUUGCUAAUAUGCAGGAAUUGGGUUCAAGAGUGUAUUUCUAAUCACAGCACAACCUUACAUAUUCAGUAAUGGAUAUCAGAUACGAUUCAAUGAAGAGCCUUGCCCGCACAGCAAUCUUGGGUACAUAGUCCCUGAAUGGGUUCAGUGGAAUCCAACUCUUGAUGACAUAAAGCAAAUAUACGGUUCUCAUGCAGUCCUUCCAACCACUACCAUAAUCUUGCCUCUAAAGCCUGACAAGAUCGGCCCUGUGAAGGAACAGCUCUCAAGUAUUCAACCUGAAGUUCUAUUAUUUCUUUCAAAGAUUAAGCAGUUUUCUGUCAAGAAACAUAAUGAGGAUCCCAGGCUCAAUACGGUGAAUGCUAUAUCUAUUUCAAGUGAAAUUAACUUUGUUAAAAGGAAGAAUAUUGAUGCUGAUUCCUAUAUUCUCCAUCUCUCCACGGAUGGAGCUAAGGAUGUGACUGAAAAAGAAUGCAGCUAUUAUAUGUGGAGGCAGAAGUUCCCUGUCAGGCAGGAAAAUCAAGUAGAAAGAAGACUUGGAGUGGAGGAGUUGGUUAUUACGCUGGCAUUUCCAUUUGGACAGCGACUGAAUAGAGGGAUAAGCUCUCCAGGAGUCUAUGCAUUUCUUCCCACGGAGAUGGUUACAAAUUUUCCUUUCAUUAUUCAGGCAGAUUUUGUUCUUGCAUCAUCCAGGGAAACAAUCCUCUUGGACAACAAAUGGAACCAAGGCAUUCUAGAUUGUGUGCCUUCUGCUUUUCUUAAUGCCUUCAUUUCACUGGUUACAACAUCACAAGAUGUUCCAGUCUCUACACUGACCCCAAUGUUUAAGUUCUUGCCUAUCUACAGCUCUCCUUAUCCAAAGCUCAAUGAUGUGAGGGAGUUGAUCAAAGCAGAACUGCUUAAGAAGAAUAUCGUACCAUGUGAGUCGUAUUCAGACCAGAAGAUCUUUCGUAAACCUUGUGAAGUGGGUAGGUUAAUGCCUUCUUUCUGGAAUAUCCUGAAAAAGGCAAGGAAGCAAGGGGUAAGUUUGCAUUCUCUGUCAUCCCAUGGAAAGUAUAUUCUGAAUUCUUCAUUUGAUACAGAGGAGUACGAUCACAUAUUGAAUUUCCUUGGUGUGGAACCUGUCAAUAGCGAAUGGUAUGCCAAGUGUAUCAAGAGUUCCAAUCUUGUUUUGGGAGUGACAGAGGAUGGUUAUUUGGAGCUUCUACUCUUUAUUGCUGAGAAAUGGAGUUCCUCUUUCUACAGCACCGACAUGAAGAAUGUUCCUCUCCUAAAAUAUGUUGGUCCUGAUGGAAAUGUUGUUUUGUGCGCUACAAGCAAUGUCACAAUGUGGAAUGGUGAAAGUACGAUUUGUAUGUCCCGUGAGUCUCAGCAUAUUUCAUGGUUGAUAGACUGGAACAGGGAAUUUAGACGUGUGACAGAUCGAUAUUUUGUGCCCAAAAGCACACAAGAAGCUAUCAGGUCUUUUUUUAAGAGAGAGACUCUCUUGGAAUGGCUUCAAAAUCAAGUGAAGGUUCGGGCUGUAAGUGUGAAAGACUUUGCAGUCAUUCUUUGUAAUUCUCUUAAGGGUGACCGACAGCUUGCUAUCGCCUAUGUUCACUUCCUUUAUCAUUCCCUCUCGAAGAGUUAUCUACCAAAGGGGGAUGUUGACAAUUUGUGUGGUAUCAUGCCACUUGUAGAUAACUAUGGGCAUGUGAGCACUCAGAGAAAAGGGGUUCUCGUUCCUGCUAACGGAAGCAAAUGGGUGGGAUUAAUGGGUACAAAUCCGUGGAGGGGAGCAGGCUAUGUUGAGCUGGGAGAAGACUAUUUGCGCUCAGGCAGUUAUGCAGGUUUAUUCACAUCAGAGAUGCAACUAAUGACGUUUCUCAAAACUCAUGUUGCAGCUUCUGAUAUACCUCAUAUAUCUCCUCCCGACGCCGAGUUAUCUGCCGCAUAUGCACCACUCACCAAGCAAAAUGCAUUCUUGCUGUUGGACUGGAUUCACAACCUGAAAUAUAAGCAAGGUCUGCCAGCUAAGUUCCUGACAUCCAUUAAGAAGGGAAGCUGGUUCAAAAUUUCCCUCAGUGGCAGUCCUGGAUAUAGGCCACCAUCAGAGUCUUUCCUGCUUGCUUCAUCAGAUGAAAAUCUUCUGCAGGACGAGUCAGUAAUGGUUGAUAUUCCUUUGAUUGACCAAGGAUUUUAUGGAAAUGGCAUCAAUUGUUAUAAGGAGGAGCUCAAAACUGUUGGAGUAAUGUUUGAAUAUGGCGAAGCCUGUGAGUUUAUAGGGAGGCACCUCAUGUCUCUUGCAGCUUCCUCUGCGUUGACUAAAUCCAGUGUGUUUGAAAUACUCAAGUUCAUCAGAUUUUUGAGACUUAGAUUUCUUCCGGCUGAUAAAUUCAUCCAGAGUAUCAUAAAUGGAAGAUGGUUGAAGACUUCCUGUGGUCACAGGUCUCCAGUUGGAUCUGUUUUAUUUGACCAAGAAUGGAAAGCUGCAUCACAAAUCAGUGACAUCCCCUUCAUCGACCAAGAUCACUACGGCAAGGAAAUCCUUCGUUUCAAAAUGGAACUCCAAUUGCUAGGUGUGGUAGUUGGCUUCAACAAAAAUUACCAGCUUGUUACUGAUCACUUAAAGUCUCAAGCAUGCUCAAAUCAUCCAACAGCCGAGGCUAUUCUUUUGAUAUUUGAAUGCAUGCGUGAUUGUGAGCGCAAUUCAAGAUCAGCCCAUAAACUUAUACAGGCGCUUAAAGGUAAUAAAUGCUUGAAGACGAACAUGGGCUACAAGUUUCCUAGUGAAUGUUUCCUGUUUAAUACUGAGUGGGAUUCGCUUCUGAAAGUCUUCCAUAAUGAUUUCCCACUUAUUGAUGAAGACUUCUAUGGGACCAGCAUCUUGUCUUACGAAAAAGAGUCGAGGCAAGCGGGAAUAGUGGUGGAUUUUGAAGCAGCGACUCAGAAAUUUUUAGCUGUUUUCAAGAAGCAUGCAUCCUCGUCUUCCAUUGGAAGAGAACAUGUUCUGUCUUUUCUCAGGUCUUACAGACAGAUUGAUAAGACAAACAAGUUUCCUUCAGAUUUUAAGCGCGACAUCUGUCAGGCAAAAUGGCUGCAAACACGGCUUGGUGUUCCUAGAUCACCGAGAGAGUGCAUUCUUUUUGGCCCGGAGUGGGAACCUGUAAGUUCAAUUACUGUGCUUCCUUUCAUUGAUGAUAGUGACAAGUACUAUGGCAAGAGAAUUCAUGAAUAUAGUAAAGAGCUGAGGAGCCUGGGUGUUACCAUCAAGUAUAAAGAUGGGGUGAGGUUUGUGGCUGCAGGUGUCUACUUUCCCCAAGAUCCCAGCACCAUAACUCCUGAAAGUGUGUUCUCUCUGCUGCAGUGCAUCCAGAUAUUAAUGAAAGAUGGUUAUACUUUGACUGAUGCUUUCCGGAAAAAGGUUUCUCAAAGUUGGUUAAAAACCAAUGCUGGGUAUAGGUCUCCAGGCCAAAGUUUGUUGUUUGGCUCUGAGUGGGGUUCUUUCUUACACAGAAACGAUGGACCUUUCAUUGAUGAAGAAUUCUAUGGCCCCAACAUUACAGCCUACAAGAACGAGCUCGAAGAAAUAGGAGUGACCAUUGAUGUGUUAAAUGGGUGCUCUUUGCUUGCUGGCUAUCUUGAUUUUCAUUCUGAAUUUUCAACCAUUGUUCGAGUCUAUAAUUACUUGAAUAAACACGGCUGGUCGCCUUGCAAUGAUACUCCUAGAAGGAUCUGGAUCCCUAAUGGGAGUGACAGUGGAGAGUGGGUUAGUCCUGAAAAAUGUGUUAUUCACGACAAGGAUGGUCUCUUCAGUUCACGACUGAAUGUUUUAGAGAAACACUAUAAGCCGGAAUUAUUCAGCCUUUUCUGCAGAGUCAUGCAAGUUAAAUCCAAUCCUUCUAUUGAU
rnacentral:lncRNA from 1 species